rnacentral:rRNA from 1 species
UACGUAGGGUCCGAGCGUUGUCCGGAAUUAUUGGGCGUAAAGGGCUCGUAGGCGGUUUGUCGCGUCGGGAGUGAAAACUCAGGGCUCAACCCUGAGCGUGCUUCCGAUACGGGCAGACUAGAGGUAUGCAGGGGAGAACGGAAUUCCUGGUGUAGCGGUGGAAUGCGCAGAUAUCAGGAGGAACCCCGGUGGCGAAGGCGGUUCUCUGGGCAUUACCUGACGCUGAGGAGCGAAAGCAUGGGGAGCGAACAGG